rnacentral:rRNA from 1 species
GAUGAACGCUGGCGGCGUGCCUAAUACAUGCAAGUCGAGCGAACGGACGAGAAGCUUGCUUCUCUGAUGUUAGCGGCGGACGGGUGAGUAACACGUGGAUAACCUACCUAUAAGACUGGGAUAACUUCGGGAAACCGGAGCUAAUACCGGAUAAUAUUUUGAACCGCAUGGUUCAAAAGUGAAAGACGGUCUUGCUGUCACUUAUAGAUGGAUCCGCGCUGCAUUAGCUAGUUGGUAAGGUAACGGCUUACCAAGGCAACGAUGCAUAGCCGACCUGAGGGGGUGGUCGGCCACACGGGAACUGAGACACGCUCGAGACUCCUAGGGGAGGCAGCAGUAGGGAAUCUUCCGCAAUGGGCGAAAGCCUGACGGAGCAACGCCGCGGGAGUGAUGAAGGUCUUCGGAUCGUAAAACUCUGUUAUUAGGGAGGAACAUAUGUGUAAGUAACUGUGCACAUCUUGACGGUACCUAAUCAGAAAGCCACGGCUAACUACGUG